rnacentral:sRNA from 1 species
ACACAUACAUACACAUACACACCAAAAGGCCCGCAGCAGCGGGCCUUUUGGCGUUUGGGGC